AGCGAACGCUGGCGGCAGGCCUAACACAUGCAAGUCGAACGAGGUCUUCGGACCUAGUGGCGGACGGGUGAGUAACACGUGGGAACGUGCCCUUUGGUACGGAAUAACUCAGGGAAACUUGAGCUAAUACCGUAUGUGCCCUUCGGGGGAAAGAUUUAUCGCCAUUGGAGCGGCCCGCGUCUGAUUAGCUAGUUGGUGAGGUAAUGGCUCACCAAGGCGACGAUCAGUAGCUGGUCUGAGAGGAUGACCAGCCACAUUGGGACUGAGACACGGCCCAAACUCCUACGGGAGGCAGCAGUGGGGAAUCUUGCGCAAUGGGCGAAAGCCUGACGCAGCCAUGCCGCGUGGAUGAUGAAGGUCUUAGGAUUGUAAAAUCCUUUCACCGGUGAAGAUAAUGACUGUAGCCGGAGAAGAAGCCCCGGCUAACUUCGUGCCAGCCGCCGCCGUAAAAC
rnacentral:rRNA from 1 species